UACAGAGGAGCCAAGCGUUGUCCGGAUUGACUGGGCGUAAAGCGCACGCAGGCGGACGCGCGCGUGGGGUGUGAAAUCUGGCCGCUUAACGGCCAGGCGCCAUCCCAUACGGCGCGUCUGGAGCAAUGCAGAGGUCGGUGGAAUUGCCGGUGUAGCGGUGAAAUGCGUAGAUAUCGAGAGGAACACCUGCGGCGAAGGCGGGUCGCUGGGCUGACACUGACGCUGACAGCGCGAAAGCUAGGGGAGCGAACGGG
rnacentral:rRNA from 1 species